UACGAAGGGGGCUAGCGUUGUUCGGAAUCACUGGGCGUAAAGCGCACGUAGGCGGAUUGUUAAGUCGGGGGUGAAAUCCUGAGGCUCAACCUCAGAACUGCCUCCGAUACUGGCAAUCUCGAGUUCGGAAGAGGUUGGUGGAACAGCUAGUGUAGAGGUGAAAUUCGUAGAUAUUAGCUAGAACACCAGUGGCGAAGGCGGCAC
rnacentral:rRNA from 1 species